UAGCACCGUGCAAGGAGCCCCCUCUACUGAGUUUGCUCUCACUGCUGCUAUUGCUGCUUCCCCUCUGGCUGGCCAAGGAAAAGCUGCUGACCUGGGCAUCCUUUGCAGCUGGUUGUACUGAAGAGAGUCAAGACAUGAGUUACGGCUAUCUUCUGGAUUUUUACCAGAGAAAGGAGCCUUGUCCUGUCUGUCAAAGUGAAAAGAAAAAAUAGUUUGAGCAUCUGUGUCAAGGUUGCAGCAAGAAGAAGUCUCAAUGUAGACCUAAAGACACAGAAGCACAGACUUUCUUCAUCACUAUGCCUGAGAUAGCGCCUGUUGGUCCCCUGAUGUUCUGUUUCCUACAUAGCUGCUGCUUUCAUUUACUUUGGCAAUAUAGUGUG